CCACGGUGAAAAGGGUGUUUAAAUGAAGACUUAGGGCUUCGGGCAUAUCGAAGAAAACAGGACAUCAUUUGAUGCUCGUCUAAUGGA
rnacentral:pre_miRNA from 1 species